rnacentral:rRNA from 1 species
GAGGCUGCAGUCGAGAAUCUUCGUCAAUGCACGCAAGUGUGAACGAGCGACGCCGCGUGAGCGAUGACGCCCUUCGGGGUGUAAAGCUCUUUUAUUGGGGACAAACUUUGAUGGUACCCAGUGAAUAAGAGGUUGCUAACUCUGUGCCAGCAGCAGCGGUAAUACAGAGACCUCAAGCGUUAUCCGGAUUUAUUGGGCGUAAAGAGUCUGUAGGUUGAAUAAAUAGUCAGAUGUCAAAUUUUAGGGCUUAACCUUAAAACUGCAUUUGGAACGUUUAUUCUAGAGGACAGUAGGGGCAAGUAGAACUUAUAGUGUAGCGGUAAAAUGCGUUGAUAUUAUAAGGAAUACCAAAAGCGAAGG